rnacentral:rRNA from 1 species
ACGGAAGGCAGCAGUAGGGAAUAUUGCACAAUGGGGGAAACCCUGAUGCAGCGACGCCGCGUGAGUGAUGAAGUAUUUCGGUAUGUAAAGCUCUAUCAGCAGGGAAGAUAAUGACGGUACCUGACUAAGAAGCCCCGGCUAACUACGUGCCAGCAGCCGCGGUAAUACGUAGGGGGCAAGCGUUAUCCGGAUUUACUGGGUGUAAAGGGAGUGUAGGUGGUUUGGCAAGCCAGAUGUGAAAGCCCGGGGCUCAACCCCGCGGACUGCAUUUGGAACUGUUAAACUUGAGUGCGGGAGAGGAAAGUGGAAUUCCUAGUGUAGCGGUGAAAUGCGUAGAUAUUAGGAGGAACACCAGUGGCGAAGGCGGCUUUCCGGACUGUAACUGACACUGAGGCUCGAAAGCGUGGGGAGCAAACAGGAUUAGAUACCCUGGUA